rnacentral:rRNA from 1 species
GACGAACGCUGGCGGCGUGCUUAACACAUGCAAGUCGAACGGAAAGGCCCUGCUUUUGUGGGGUGCUCGAGUGGCGAACGGGUGAGUAACACGUGAGUAACCUGCCCUUGACUUUGGGAUAACUUCAGGAAACUGGGGCUAAUACCGGAUAGGAGCUCCUGCUGCAUGGUGGGGGUUGGAAAGUUUCGGCUGUUGGGGAUGGACUCGCGGCUUAUCAGCUUGUUGGUGGGGUAGUGGCUUACCAAGGCUUUGACGGGUAGCCGGCCUGAGAGGGUGACCGGCGCCAUGGGGAGUGAGAUAAGGGACAGAGUCAGAUGGUAGGCAGCAGCGGGGGAGUGUGCACAAGGGGCGGAAGCCUGAUGAACCAAUGCCGCGUGCGGGAUGAGGGCAGUGGGGUGGGAAAAAGAUGUAGCCGGUGAAGAAGCGGGAGUGACGGUAAGGGGUAGAGAAGCACCGGAUAAGUACGUG